rnacentral:tRNA from 1 species
AUCUUUUUAGUAUAAAAUUAGUACAAGUGACUUCCAAUUACUUAAUCUUGGUUAAAGUCCAAGGAAAGAUA